rnacentral:rRNA from 1 species
GGAGGGUGCGAGCGUUGUCCGGAAUCACUGGGCGUAAAGGGCGCGUAGGUGGCUCGUUAAGUUGCCGGUGAAAUCCCGGGGCUCAACUCCGGGGCUGCCGGUAAGACUGGCGGGCUCGAGCACGGUAGAGGCAGAUGGAAUUCCCGGUGUAGCGGUGGAAUGCGUAGAGAUCGGGAAGAACACCAGUGGCGAAGGCGUUCUGCUGGGCCGUUGCUGACACUGAGGCGCGACAGCGUGGGGAGCAAACAGGAUUAGAUACCCUGGUAGUCCACGCCGUAAACGAUGGACACUAGGCGUCGGGGGGAGCGACCCCCUCGGUGCCGUCGCUAACGCGGUAAGUGUCCCGCCUGGGGAGUACGGCCGCAAGGCUG